UGAGUAACCUGCCCUUAACUCUGGGAUAAGCCUGGGAAACUGGGUCUAAUACCGGAUAUGACUCCUCAUCGCAUGGUGGGGGGUGGAAAGCUUUUUGUGGUUUUGGAUGGACUCGCGGCCUAUCAGCUUGUUGGUGAGGUAAUGGCUCACCAAGGCGACGACGGGUAGCCGGCCUGAGAGGGCGAUCGGCCACACUGGGACUGAGACACGGCCCAGACUCCGUACGGGAGGCAG
rnacentral:rRNA from 1 species